rnacentral:misc_RNA from 1 species
UUCACAUUAAUUAUUCAGGUUUCAGCUACUGGAUUUUGAAUUGAUAUCGUCUUCAGGUUACUGCUGCUUUAGAUUGGAAGUUGUAUUGGUGUCCUUUUAACAUGGGGAUCUCUGAUACGGUACGUAGCCUUUUUCCCUGUAUCAAGUCACACUCCACAAGUGAUGGUGAUGAUUCUACCCAUAAUGUCGAGUUUGCUGGUGGAAAUGUGUCCCUUAUUACUACAAAAGAAAGCUGGGAUCAGAAGUUGGCAGAAGCAAAAAAAGAGGGCAAAAUUGUUAUUGCAAAUUUCAGUGCUUCAUGGUGUGGUCCAUGUAGAAUGAUCUCUCCAUUCUACUGUGAGCUGUCUGAGAAAUAUCUUUCUCUGAUGUUUCUAACAGUCGAUGUUGAUGAGCUUACGGAAUUUAGUUCAUCCUGGGAUAUCAAAGCAACUCCAACCUUCUUUUUUCUCAAGGAUGGGGAGCAGAUUGACAAACUCGUAGGAGCCAAUAAACCAGAGCUACAGAAGAAGAUAACCACAGUUGCAGACAGACAUGUAGCAUGUGAGCCGCAGCCGCAGCCACAGUAAUUGCAAUUGGAGGUGUGAAUUGUGUUUAAUAUCCCUGCUUUCCAGUUUUUGUCAAGAAAUUCAGGUCUCCAGUAGGUGUGUCCUUCCAAUCUUUGCACUGCUGCCAAUAUGUUGUACAGUUGUUGUACAAUGAGCCACUACAUCUUGUGUGUGUAUGCAUGUAUGUUAAAGAACUGAAAGCAGUUCGAAUAUUCAACUAAAAAACAUGAAAAGAAUGAUGUGAUUGGAAUAAGUUGAGGCUUGUUUAUUUGAAUCAUUCUGAUCUUGAAAGAAGCAUGAAGCUGUAUGUAUGCAAACAAGUUUGUGUCAUAAUGUGAUCCGCUGGUAUACUUUUGUAAAGGAAAUUUCAAAUUUAUUCUUGGG